rnacentral:rRNA from 2 species
GAGUGAGUGGCGAACUGGUGAGUAACACGUGGGAAACCUGCCCAGAAGCGGGGGAUAACACCUGGAAACAGAUGCUAAUACCGCAUAACAACUUGGACCGCAUGGUCCGAGUUUGAAAGAUGGCUUCGGCUAUCACUUUUGGAUGGUCCCGCGGCGUAUUAGCUAGAUGGUGGGGUAACGGCUCACCAUGGCAAUGAUACGUAGCCGACCUGAGAGGGUAAUCGGCCACAUUGGGACUGAGACACGGCCCAAACUCCUACGGGAGGCAGCAGUAGGGAAUCUUCCACAAUGGACGAAAGUCUGAUGGAGCAACGCCGCGUGAGUGAAGAAGGGUUUCGGCUCGUAAAACUCUGUUGUUAAAGAAGAACAUAUCUGAGAGUAACUGUUCAGGUAUUGACGGUAUUUAACCAGAAAGCCACGGCUAACUACGUGCCAGCAGCCGCGGUAAUACGUAGGUGGCAAGCGUUGUCCGGAUUUAUUGGGCGUAAAGCGAGCGCAGGCGGUUUUUUAAGUCUGAUGUGAAAGCCUUCGGCUCAACCGAAGAAGUGCAUCGGAAACUGGGAAACUUGAGUGCAGAAGAGGACAGUGGAACUCCAUGUGUAGCGGUGAAAUGCGUAGAUAUAUGGAAGAACACCAGUGGCGAAAGCGGCUGUCUGGUCUGUAACUGACGCUGAGGCUCGAAAGUAUGGGUAGCAACAGGAUUAGAUACCCUGGUAGUCCAUACGUAACGAUGAUGCUAGUGUGAGGGUUUCGUCCUCAGUGCUGCAGCUACGCAUAGCAUCGCCUGGGAGUACGCGCAGCUGAAACUCAAGAAUGACGGGCGGACAGCGGUGGAGCAGUGUAAUCGAGCUACCGAGACCUUACAGUCUGACUACUAUGCCAAUCUAAGGGUUUGCGGG